rnacentral:rRNA from 1 species
CACCGCCCGUCACACCACGAAAGCUGCGUGUACCAGAAGUCAUCGUGCUAACCCCAAUGGGGAGGUAGGUGCCUAAGGUAUGCGUGGUGAUUGGGGUG